CCUGAGUGCUGUAAUUAAAGAAAUGC
rnacentral:piRNA from 1 species